AGGACGAACGCUGGCGGCGUGCUUAACACAUGCAAGUCACGGGGGUCCCGCAAGGGAUAACCGGCGAACGGGUGCGUAACACGUGAACAACCUGCCCUCGUGUGGGGGAUAGCCAUGCUAACGCGUGGGUAAUACCGCAUACGUUUCCCGAAGGGAGUCCUUUGGGAAGGAAAGCUCCGGCGCACGGGGAGGGUUCGCGGCCUAGUCAGCUAGUUGGCGGGUAAUGGCCACCAAGGCGACGACGGGUAAC
rnacentral:rRNA from 1 species